AAGCUAGAUUUAACGAAAUAUCUUUGUCCCAUUUCCACCAGCGUCAGCUGACCUGAAAACAUGCUCAUGCGGUACAGCUCCUGUUGAACUUAAGCAUUCUAGUUAUGGUUUUCUAUGGAUUCAACGUCAUCAGGCUCAUCAAUGUAUGACUCGUGAAUGGGAUGGAUUGUGGAGGCAGUUGCUGGCACAGCGACCUCUUUAUUGAUGAGCGUUGUUUCAUGGCUGGCAGCUUUGGCAAUGACCUCAUCAGGUGUUGGGCUAGAGAGGUCAGGCAACUUGUGGAACAAGAAGUUAUUAGUUUCUGCAGCAUGUUUGACAUGUGGGUCGUGAGUGGCAUGUUCUUGGGCUUAACCAUCUAGAACCACUCCGUGUGGCGUUUGAAAAUUGGAUAAAUCGCAAGGAUCUUAUCGGUAAAAGCCUUGUAAUAAUCCUCAAUUGGCUGGUCGUCUGUUAUCUUCCUCUGUAUUUGAGUUGAGAGGUGGCGAGUUUGUCUGUAAGAGGAGAUUUGGUUGGAAGUCGCGCUGAACCUUUGGUUCUUGUCCAUGCACUGGGGCGAUGUUUCGUCCAGCUAUGCCUUGUGGAGGGCGUGUUGCCACCUUUUUAGCUCUUACUUGAGUUUAUUCAUUUCCACCCUUGCCUCUUCUGUGAAUUUGAUGUCGAUUGCUGUCAUUUAUCCAUAUAUGUCCGAAAUGACCUCCAGUUUCCUACGAAGAUCUUGGAUGUGAGCGAUAUGAGCAUUCACCAGAUUUGGCAUCACCAAUCGUAUCAGUGGCAAUGGAGAAGUGCCGUUUGAGCUGGCCGACUGAUCUCCAGAGAGAAUCCAUUGAGCAGGAUAGUGUCCCCCACGUGGGUGUGUCCAUCUAGCAGAUUUCUUCGGCCUGCAGUGGUCGAUUUAUUACCUUUCAAUUUUUAUUCAAUUUUUGGUCUACCAACCACUUUGAGUUGGCAGACCGAGCUAGUCCUUGAAUGUAGGGUUGAUCAGGAACGCUACUUACCACUGCCACUUGCUACGCUUUGGCAGUAUUGUGUUUCAGUUAAUGAACCGGGAUUUAUGUUUUUCACAAAAUAUUAAGGAUGUGCAAAAUGCUGUUCAGACUAGGAUGUAACAUGGACAUGGCAAGAUCUGCUUGCUAGGGAUAGCAGGUUCAAAUCACAAUGUUGGAAGAUAUCAUGAAAUAAUUUUCCUUUUCAUCUCCGUGUUGCUUGAUAGGGAAAGCAAAAACAGCCCUUAAAACCU